rnacentral:rRNA from 1 species
AACGUAGGUGGCGAGCGUUAUCCGGAUUUACUGGGCGUAAAGCGUGUGCAGGCGGCUUAUCAAGUGGUGUAUGAAAUAUCCAGGCUCAACCUGGAGGGGUUAUGCCAGACUGGUAGGCUAGAGUGCGAGAGAGGGGCGUGGAAUUCCGGGUGUAGUGGUGAAAUGCGUAGAGAUCCGGAGGAACCCCAGAGGCGAAGGCGGCGCCCUGGCUCGACACUGACGCUCAGACACGACAGCAUGGGGAGCGAACAGG